CGACGGUUCAAUCCCGUCUCCAGCCAUCCUGAUUUAGGUUUUCCGUGAUUUCCCUAAAUCGCUUCAGGCAAAUGCCGGGAUGGUUCCUUUGAAAGGGCACGGCCGAUUUCCUUCCCCAUCCUUCCCUCACCCGAACUUGCGCUCCGUCUCUAAUGACCUCGUUGUCGACGGGACGUUAAACACUAAUCUCCUCCUC